CUACGGGCGGCACCAGUGGGGAAUCUUGCGCAAUGGGCGAAAGCCUGACGCAGCGACGCCGCGUGAGUGAUGAAGGCCCUCGGGUUGUAAAGCUCUGUGGAGAGGGAAGAAUAAGGAUGGACUAAUACUCCAUUUGAUGACGGUACCUCUUUAGCAAGCACCGGCUAACUCUGUGCCAGCAGCCGCGGUAAGACAGAGGGUGCAAACGUUGUUCGGAAUUACUGGGCGUAAAGCGCGUGUAGGCGGCAGGGCAAGUCGGAUGUGAAAGCCCACGGCUCAACCGUGGAAGUGCACCCGAAACUGCUCCGCUGGAGUCUCGGAGAGGAAGGUGGAAUGCUUGGUGUAGAGGUGAAAUUCGUAGAUAUCAAGCGGAACACCGGUGGCGAAGGCGGCCUUCUGGACGAUGACUGACGCUGAGACGCGAAAGCGUGGGGAGCAAACAGGAUUAGAUACCCUCGUAGUC
rnacentral:rRNA from 1 species